UGGGGAAUAUUGGGCAAUGGGGGAAACCCUGACCCAGCAACGCCGCGUGAGGGAAGAAGGUCUUCGGGUUGUAAACCUCUGUCCUUGGGGACGAAGAAGUGACGGUACCCAAGGAGGAAGCUCCGGCUAACUACGUGCCAGCAGCCGCGGUAAUACGUAGGGAGCAAGCGUUGUCCGGAAUUACUGGGCGUAAAGGGUGCGUAGGCGGUUGAUUAAGUCAGAUGUGAAAUACCCGGGCUUAACUUGGGGGGUGCAUCUGAAACUGGUCGACUUGAGUGCAGGAGAGGAAAGCGGAAUUCCUAGUGUAGCGGUGAAAUGCGUAGAUAUUAGGAGGAACACCAGUGGCGAAGGCGGCUUUCUGGACUGUAACUGACGCUGAGGCACGAAAGCGUGGGGAGCAAACAGG
rnacentral:rRNA from 1 species